AUGGCCUGGACUCCUCUGCUCCUCGCGCUCCUCUCUCUCUGCACAGGGUCCCUCUCCCAGCCUGUGCUGACCCAGCCGCCCUCCCUCUCUGCAUCUCCGGGAGCCACAGCCAGACUCACCUGCACCCUGAGCAGUGAUGUCAGUGUUGGUGCUAAAUCCAUAUACUGGUACCAGCAGAAGCCAGGGAGCCCUCCCCGGUAUCUCCUGUACUACAACUCAGACUCAGAUAAGCACCAGGGCUCCGGGGUCCCCAGCCGCUUCUCUGGAUCCAAAGACGCCUCGGCCAAUGCGGGGCUCCUGCUCAUCUCGGGGCUGCAGCCUGAGGACGAGGCUGACUAUUACUGUGCGAUCUGGCACAGUAGUGCUUCCCACAGUGACACACUCAGAUGGGGAAGUGGGACAAAAACCUCGCCCUCCCAGAGUCUUAUUUCACAACGUCUGACCCUGUUAACAUAA